GUGGGGAAUCUUGCGCAAUGGGCGAAAGCCUGACGCAGCCAUGCCGCGUGAAUGAUGAAGGUCUUAGGAUUGUAAAAUUCUUUCACCGGGGACGAUAAUGACGGUACCCGGAGAAGAAGCCCCGGCUAACUUCGUGCCAGCAGCCGCGGUAAUACGAAGGGGGCUAGCGUUGCUCGGAAUUACUGGGCGUAAAGGGAGCGUAGGCGGAUAGUUUAGUCAGAGGUGAAAGCCCAGGGCUCAACCUUGGAAUUGCCUUUGAUACUGGCUAUCUUGAGUACGGAAGAGGUAUGUGGAACUCCGAGUGUAGAGGUGAAAUUCGUAGAUAUUCGGAAGAACACCAGUGGCGAAGGCGACAUACUGGUCCGUUACUGACGCUGAGGCUCGAAAGCGUGGGGAGCAAACAGGAUUAGAAACCCCGGUAGUCC
rnacentral:rRNA from 1 species